rnacentral:rRNA from 1 species
UACGGGGGGGGCAAGCGUUGUUCGGAAUUACUGGGCGUAAAGGGCUCGUAGGCGGCCAACUAAGUCGGAUGUGAAAUCCCCAGGCUUAACCUGGGAACUGCAUCCGAUACUGGAUGGCUUGAAUCCGGGAGAGGGAUGCAGAAUUCCAGGUGUAGCGGUGAAAUGCGUAGAUAUCGGGAGGAACACCGGUGGCGAAGGCGGCUCUCUGGGACGGUACUGACGCUGAGACGCGAAAGCGUGGGGAGCGAACAGG